AGGUACUGUAUUUCCGAUUCCUAUAUCCGCAA
rnacentral:piRNA from 1 species